rnacentral:rRNA from 1 species
CGCUACGGUGAAUACGUUCCCGGACCUUGCACACACCGCCCGUCAAGCCAUGGAAGCCGGGUGUACCUAAAGUCGGUAACCGUAAGGAGCCGCCUAGGGUAAAACUAGUAACUGGGGCU